UGCAGUCGAGCGGUAACAGGUGUAGCAAUACAUGCUGACGAGCGGCGAACGGGUGAGUAAUGCUUCGGAAUCUGCCCAAUGGUGGGGAAUAACCAGCCGAAAGGUUGGCUAAUACCGCAUAAGUCCUACGGGAGAAAGCAGGGGAUCGCAAGACCUUGCGCCGAUGGAUGAGCCGAAGCCGGAUUAGCUAGUUGGUAGGGUAACGGCCUACCAAGGCGACGAUCCGUAGCUGGUCUGAGAGGACGACCAGCCACACUGGGACUGAGACACGGCCCAGACUCCUACGGGAGGCAGCAGUGGGGAAUAUUGGACAAUGGGGGAAACCCUGAUCCAGCGACGCCGCGUGUGUGAAGAAGGCCUGCGGGUUGUAAAGCACUUUUAGUGGGGAUGAAAAGCUCAAGGCUAAUACCCUUGGGUCUUGACCUAACCCACAGAAAAAGCACCGGCUAACUCUGUGCCAGCAGCCGCGGUAAUACAGAGGGUGCAAGCGUUAAUCGGAAUUACUGGGCGUAAAGCGUGCGUAGACGGUUACAUAAGUCGGGUGUGAAAGCCCCGGGCUCAACCUGGGAAUUGCAUUCGAGACUGCGUAGCUAGGGUGCGGAAGAGGGAAGCGGAUUUCCGGUGUAGCGGUGAAAUGCGUAGAUAUCGGAAGGAACACCAGUGGCGAAAGCGGCUUCCUGGUCCAGCACCGACGUUCAGGCACGAAAGCGUGGGGAGCAAACAGGAUUAGAUACCCUGUAGUCCACGCCAUAAACGAUGAGAACUAGACGUUGAAGGGGUAAGCCCUGCAGUGUCGACUAACGCGCUAAGUUCUCGCCUGGGGAGUACGGCGCAAGGUUGAACUCAAAGGAUUGAGGGGACCCGCA
rnacentral:rRNA from 1 species